AGCGGCGGACGGGUGAGUAACACGUGGGUAACCUGCCCAAGAGACUGGGAUAACACCUGGAAACAGAUGCUAAUACCGGAUAACAACACUAGACGCAUGUCUAGAGCUUGAAAGAUGGUUCUGCUAUCACUCUUGGAUGGACCUGCGGUGCAUUAGCUAGUUGGUAAGGUAACGGCUUACCAAGGCAAUGAUGCAUAGCCGAGUUGAGAGACUGAUCGGCCACAUUGGGACUGAGACACGGCCCAAACUCCUACGGGAGGCAGCAGUAGGGAAUCUUCCACAAUGGACGAAAGUCUGAUGGAGCAACGCCGCGUGAGUGAAGAAGGGUUUCGGCUCGUAAAGCUCUGUUGGUAGUAAAGAAAGAUAGAGGUAGUAACUGGCCUUUAUUUGACGGUAAUUACUUAGAAAGUCACGGCUAACUACGUGCCAGCAGCCGCGGUAAUACGUAGGUGGCAAGCGUUGUCCGGAUUUAUUGGGCGUAAAGCGAGUGCAGGCGGUUCAAUAAGUCUGAUGUGAAAGCCUUCGGCUCAACCGGAGAAUUGCAUCAGAAACUGUUGAACUUGAGUGCAGAAGAGGAGAGUGGAACUCCAUGUGUAGCGGUGGAAUGCGUAGAUAUAUGGAAGAACACCAGUGGCGAAGGCGGCUCUCUGGUCUGCAACUGACGCUGAGGCUCGAAAGCAUGGGUAGCGAACAGGAUUAGAUACCUGGUAGUCCAUGCCGUAACGAUGAGUGCUAAGUGU
rnacentral:rRNA from 1 species